GCCAUCUCUCCGCCGUGGCUGCGAUCUCUCUUUGGAUGAAGUAGAACUACACUUCUCACCAAACCCCACAGCUUGAAGAUAAAGCUGAAUUAUAAAAGGUGAUGAGCAACAGAUUGAAACUAGCUACUCAAAGGAUUAAAUAAACUAAUUUGAUCCUGUUUAGAUAUCUCCCCUAACAACCCUGAGUGCUAGAUCAAGUCCUGUAACCUUUAAGCUGGUCUCACCUGUACCUUCUAUUCCCCAGUCUCUGUCGGGAUAACAAUAGUUGUGUACGAGAUAUGUUGGCUAAGAUCUAAAGAGCUAUUAACCUCCGGCCUAAUCAACUUUUUUCACGGCUUAGAGCUCUUGUUCCUGUAUCUAUAGACUAAAUAAAUAAGAUUAAGCAAGACUCUAGUGUAUAAACGAGGUGCGCUGGUGAAAGAUGUAUGCCCAUCUUAAUGUUAAUAGUUUGAAUACCUGUGGAUCUAAGGUAUUGGUAUUCUUGGUUCUAUCCUAGACCUUGAAAAUGGCACAGCAA